GGGAUAUAGAGAGAGAUCCAUCUGAGUCCACACAAGCUAGUAGAUAUCUCAACAGUAGCUUAUAGCCUCUGCUGUUUCUGGUCCAAAAUGCCCAAAUCAGAAAAACAAGGAAACAACCAGCCUCCACCAGGAUAUCCAACUGAAAAUCCUCCUAAGCGGAAGAAAUGCUGCCCACAAUCAAAAAAGAAAGGAGAUAGAGGCUUCAUUGAGGGAUGCCUCUUUGCUUUGUGUUGUUGUUGGCUGUGUGAAGCUUGCUUCUGAUGGAAUCCAUGGAGAGCAUAUGGGCAGGAUAUGAUAUGCCUUAGCAUGUAGGAGAGAGAGAGAGUUCAUGACUUGGGGACACCCACCAUGUUAUCUGAUAGUUAAUUACACUGUGUUCACUUACUAAUAUGUAUGUCCUUGUUAUGUAUGUAUUAUCUUGAAUACUAUGUGAUUGUUUGGGAGAGAACUUUCCACUGGUACAGCUCUUAGAUUUUUGGGUAAUUAUUGUGGAAAAAGGAUUGUAACUGGUGGCUAAUAAACAAUAUAUUUUGUA